GAUGAACGCUGGCGGCGUGCUUAACACAUGCAAGUCGAACGAUGAAGCCCAGCUUGCUGGGUGGAUUAGUGGCGAACGGGUGAGUAACACGUGAGUAACCUGCCCUUAACUCUGGGAUAAGCCUGGGAAACUGGGUCUAAUACCGGAUAGGAGCGUCCACCGCAUGGUGGGUGUUGGAAAGCUUUAUCGGUUUUGGAUGGACUCGCGGCCUAUCAGCUUGUUGGUGAGGUAAUGGCUCACCAAGGCGACGACGGGUAGCCGGCCUGAGAGGGUGACCGGCCACACUGGGACUGAGACACGGCCCAGACUCCUACGGGAGGCAGCAGUGGGGAAUAUUGCACAAUGGGGGCAAGCCUGAUGCAGCGACGCCGCGUGAGGGAUGACGGCCUUCGGGUUGUAAACCUCUUUCAGUAGGGAAGAAGCGAAAGUGACGGUACCUGCAGAAGAAGCACCGGCUAACUACGUG
rnacentral:rRNA from 1 species